rnacentral:lncRNA from 1 species
GGGCCCACUGCACCCAGCCCCUUCCUCUCCAGACCUCCCCUUCCAUGAACUCCAACAUGUCACACAUCUCGCCCACCCAAAUGCAAAGCACUCUUCCUCUCUCUCUCUCUGGCUGAGCUUUCAGCUCCCUUCCAAGAGGCGUUUGCUCCGUGAACACCGGCAUCUGUUUCAGAGGCGUCACUUCAAUAGAGCCACUUCUGUUCCUUCGGACUCACCACUCACCUACAUGAAAGGCAGAGUCUCUCAGAAACCAGAAUGAAAGGAUUCCUCGGCCAGCUUUCCUUUCUGCUGAAAGGAUGGCCCCAUCUCCCAGAUCGCCCAAAGAAUCCAGGUUAGCCGGUGGCUCAGCAGUGGUGGGGAAGUAUUUCAGGAGUAAUCUCUGUCAUUUCUCAAAUGGCCACAUUUGAAAGUAGCGUCCUUCUCGGGUCUCUUCUGCUGGGCCGUUUAAAGGAGAUUGUGAUGGAAUUUCAAGGCUGUGCUUUGGGGAUGGGGUCCAGCCCAGCUGCCCCAUCUUGCUUGGGCCCUGCGUGCCUGGGCCUUGCCUGAAUUUCCUUUCUCUGUAUUUUGGCAUUUCUUCCUUCACCUCCUCUGGAUCUGGAGUCAUCUCCAACUUUUUCUUUCCCCUGAGAAUUCUGCCUAACCAGUGACGCCAGGCGAUGCUGUGGGAGGAGCAUCGGGUCUGGAAUCAGGCAAAGCUGGAUGUGAAACUCCACGCUAUCACUCAAGAGCUCUGGAGCCCUGAGCGGCCACUGGCCUCCUGUUUCCUCUUCUCUCCAGCACGUCAGCUCGCCAAGUCACCUCUUUGGAGAGGUGCUUCCUGACACCCCAGCUAAAAUGGGACCCACUGCAUCAUUCUCUAAUGCUUACCUUUGUAAGCAUUUAAAUGCCUUUGUUUACUGGGUUAUGUGUGUAUGCAUCUCACCAGGCUGUAGGCCCUAUGAUGCAGAUACAUCUGUGAAUAUUGUAAAAUGCUGUCCAUUGCUGUACCACUCAGUGUACAGAAGCGCCUGGUGCAUAGUAGGCUCUCAGUCAGUAUUUAUUGAAUGAGUGAGUGAAAUAAAUCAAACUCUCCAGAUGAUGGAUGGGAAGAGACCCAGAGUGUGUCCCAAAAUACAGAAGAAUUACACAACUCGGGCUCAAAGACCCAUCUCACCAGGAAAAAAAAAAUAAGACCGAUCCCCUUCUAGCUUUUGUUUGAGGCAGAAAAGGCCUACACGAAGGACACACCAAGUGUUUGAUCAGCUGGACUUACUACCCCAGCGUGUCUAAGGUAAUAUUUCAUUGGAUUUCACCCUGUAUUUGAAAGCAAAACAAUUCGCAUUUGAAAAAUCUCAUUACUAGCAUCUUCCCUCCAAAUCCAUUAACGGCGCGAGUGUUUCUGGCAGCCGAGAUCACCUCGGAUUAUAGUAUGAAAUGCAACUCUGGGGAAAACUGUAUGUUUCAAGAUGUUUGUACCAUUCAAUUGUCAAAUAUUCACACGGUUAUGAUUCUCAAAGAAAGAACACAAUGUAGGGAAAUUGGUAACAAAAUAAAAGCUCCAGGAUGUAUUGAGAGAAGGCAGCCAAAGGAUUCCUGCCUGACAUAUCUAAUCCCAGGAACGGGAAAUUAAAAACCACGCCAGAAUAUCAAUGCUUCACAUAGAACAUGGCUUUUCUUGAGCACGAUUCCAGGUCUCACCCUGCAGAGCAAUCGCGGCCUUCACCAGACCUUCGGGUCUCUUGCAAGCACCCUUUUCUCAUCCCAGAGGAAACAAGAAGUUUCCUUUUCUCCCACCCAGACUCACUGCAGCAACUAAAUCUGGCUUUUCACUAAUCUCUCAUUUCACAUGUCCACCCCUGUCUUGGUGAACUCAAUGACAUCAUACUCAAAGACUCAUCAGCCUUUAGAGCUGAAGAGGUUCUGUAAGAUUGGGGAAAAAAAAAAAAAAAAAAAAAAAAAGGUGAGGGUUGGGGUUUUGUAGUCAAAGGAAUUUGGGAACUACAGCAAUGCGACUUUCCUCUCAGAGCUUCCCAGUUCAUACAGGCAUGUUCAAGGUUCUGAGAUGUCCCAUGCUCAAGAAUCCUGUUUAUAUUUAUUUAACUUAGCAUUGUUCCAAAUUAGCUGGCUAGGCAGCCUUUAAGUUCUCAUUGUGGCGCAGUGGAAAUGAAUCCUACUGGGAACCAUGAGGUUGCGGGUUUGAUCCCUGGCCUCACUCAGUGGGUUAAGGAUCUGGUGUUGCUGUGAGCUCUGGUGUAGGUUGCAGACGUGGCUCGGAUCUGGCAUUGCUGUGGCUCUGGCGUAGGCUGGCAACUGUAGCUCUGAUUAGCUCCCUAGCCUGGGAACCUCCAUAUGCCAAGGGUGUGGCCCU